rnacentral:lncRNA from 1 species
CACCCCAAUAAGUUGAACGCUUGUUAUAACGGUGACAUUAAUAUUUUUUGAUCCUCUUAACCGGAGUAGUCAUCUCCACCCUUGAGUAUCAUGAGCUCUUCACUCUUCUUUCUCUUCCAUCUCUCAUGUGUAUCACGCAUGCUCAGAACUGAUAUUAGCAAAAGUAAACCCCCAAAACUCAUUUAGCGUUUGUUACUCUAGAACAGCCCAUUUUUGCCUAAAAUUGAAGCCAUAUUUAAUGUUUUAUUAUCAUAUUUUUUGAAAGGAGUAGUAUGUUUUACUCAUACCAAGUACCAUUAUUAUGUUUUUUUGAUAAUUAAAUAUCUUUUUUUAUUUGCAAGAAAUUCGUUUUGCCACCACAAUUAAGUCACCCAUGCCAGCCCGCAUCCUUACAUAUCUAGCUAUCCUAGUUUGCACAAAUAGGUUAAUAUGCCGUGGAAUUAAUGAAUUUGUUGCAUACCAUCCCCUUUCAAACU